GGCCUCAGUGACCGUUGGACUUCCGGCGCUGUCGCUGGCCGCACACAUACUCGCCUGGCAGUGCCAAAGAUCGCCAUCAGUGCCAACUUCCCAGCCUGCCUCAGCGGAAGGACUUCCCGGAGGACACGGGUGGAGCUCAGAAGCAUCCUCGCCGGAGAAGAUUCCCCCGUGGAACUCUACAGCAGCAUUUCUGCCCAAACAACUGGCCUCCCGCUUGAGUCAGAAGAGGACACAGAAGACACAUUGGCCAUCUGAAGGCAGAGACUGGGGUUACAAAGCUACAGGCUAAGGAAUGGCAAAUCGAGGAACAGAUCUCUCCCUCGGGGGAACUCCAGAGACAGUGAACCCUGGGAUGCUUUGGUUUCAUCAAUUUCUUGCCUCUAGAAGAUGGGAAGCACCCUUGGAAGAAGGCGUGGAAGCAGUUUACCUGGCUAAAGAACUGUGUCAUAGACCGUAGGCACUGCUUUCGUCUCUGGUCCAGCUGCUUCUGUUUGUCUGUCCAGCCACGCAUCACCUUCUUCUGGUACUGAUCAAUUCUGUCCAGCAUGAUGUACAGGCUCUGAGUCUCAUACC